rnacentral:lncRNA from 1 species
GCAUCAACUUCUAACUCAUCUCGCCAGGAGAGGCCUCCAGUGAAACCCUUCAUUCUCACUCGGAACAUGGCUCAAGCCAAAGUAUUUGGAGCUGGUUAUCCAAGUCUGCCAACUAUGACGGUGAGUGACUGGUAUGAGCAACAUCGGAAAUAUGGAGCAUUACCGGAUCAGGGAAUAGCCAAGGCAGCACCAGGUCAUCAGAAUGAAGGAAAGUCUGAGAAAGAGUUACAUCCUAGAGGAGACUAAAGAAACAGACAACAAAAUGUACUGUGGUGACCUGGAUAGGAUCCUGGAACGGAAAAGGGACAUUAGAGGAAUUCAGAAAAGCAGCUCAGCAACAGGAAGAACAAGAAGAAAAGGAGGAAGAGGAUGAUGAACAAACACUCCACAGAGCCCGGGAGUGGGAUGACUGGAAGGACACCCAUCCUAGGGGCUAUGGGAACCGACAGAACAUGGGCUGAUCUUCCCACAACACCACAGGACUGCAGGGUGCACAACUCCCCUGCCAAGGAAAACCAUGCAGUCCUCCCCUCCCUGGUCUCCUGCUUCAGCUCUGUACAACGAGGGCAAAGAUGCUAAAUCUUGCUUUGCAUUCAGUAAAGUGUCAAGUGAUUAAGUGUGUAUUUGUACCCUAGAUGAUAUGAACCAGCAGUCUUGUUUUGGCAUCAUCCUCAUCAUGUUGUAUUCCAGCUUCUUAAGUGGAAGGAAAAGAGUGCUGAGAAAUGGCUCUGUAUAAUCUAUGGCUAUCCGAAUUCUCUGAAAAAAUAAUAAAAGUC